UUCAUUGGUUUCACAGCACUUUUUUUAAAUUCUGUGUUUUAACUAACAUUCUCAAUCUGCUUUUCAAUAGGUUCCAGUCCAGCCUUAUGUCUUAAAGAAAAAAAUAAUUUUGACAGACAGAAGUGAGUACUUGACUCACCAAUCAGAUAAACAUGGAGCUGGAUUUGGCAUAGUAAGGCUGUUUCAUUAACUAACUGGGGAAACAGCACAACUGAAUACUUGAAAACAAUGCUGAACCCUUUUUAGGGAAAAGGAAAAAUAGAAAAAAAGGGUAUCUUGAUGAACAAUAGAAAAAAAAUCUAUAUGGUUGAGAAAAUAUAAAUAUUGGUCACUCCAUUUUGUUUAAAGGUAAUUUUCUAAGGCUAGACUGAAUAAAAUAAUAAUGAAUUAAAAAUUAUUCCAAAAGAUCCAAAAUCAUGAAAUCACAUAUACUGUCAUCAAUGGGAAUAACAAGAUGGAAAUGUUGAUGGCCAUGGAUCCUAGAUUAUGCAGAGAUCUCCAAUCCUCUUCUAAAAGUUGCUCAUGAGCAAUAACAAAAAAGUAUUUGACUAAACUUUAAAUUAGACAAACAUGUGACAUUUGAUAAAUUAUAAUUGGCUCUCUCAAAUGCCCAAUGCCUAGGCCUAAUAUUCUAAACAAAUCAAUCUAUUAGAUUUUGAAGAAAAAGAAAAAAAGAGAAUAAAACAUGUUUUUGGCCAAAAGAGGGUGUGAAAGUGUGUGAAAAAGUAUGAAUGAUGGUGUUGCAUGGCAUGAAAGAGAGUGUCUGACGAGUCACUGAGGCAAUUCAAUCAAUUAGCCAAAACAGCUGUAUAUAAAUUUGAAUGUGGGCCCACAGGGCAAACUUAUGCCCAGUAAAAUAAAGACCAUGGAGGAAUUUGGUUAAGUUUCCUGGUCAGUACCCAGGUCAUUGUUGUGGCAGAAAGAAAAACAGUGCCACACAUGCGCAGCGUAUAACAUGGGAAGGCAGAGCAGUGUAAGUUUGCUCUGUCCACCCCACAUCUAACUUUCUUUUCAGCAUAACAUUAUAGAGCUGAUUCUGUGUCAAAAGGAUAAAAUAUUGUCUUUCUGACUGUUAAAAUAAAUAAAGUGGGUUGAGUGUUUUCCAUGUCAAAAGGCCUAUGCUACUGAGCAAGAUAGGACUAGAUAAAGUAUCCAGUAAUAUAGUGGAACAAAACGAAGAGAGAACUGAAUAAGCAAAUUGUUGAGAAUAAAAUUGAAAUGAAUUAAAAAAUGACGGAGACAGCACUGGAAUUGUGAAAGCUCAAAAAGGGGCCAAGACAGCCCUCAACCCACAUUACAUUUCCACAGGUCACACCAAGAAGGACAACUAGCAAAAUUAGCAUGCUUGAUAUCACUAACAACAAACUCUGAAGUUUUCCAUUUACAGGUGACAGCAGUUCUAGUAAGGCCAAGAAAUGCUUCGCUCCAUCAAAGAGAACCAGUGAGGGUGCA